AAAUUUUAAAAUUUAAGACGCCGUGGUGUUCAAAUUUCAAAAUACUUGCUUAGGAAUUCAACCCGUAUCUCAUAACGAAUAAGGUGCACAAUCGUAUAAAUAAAAAACUGUUUGAAGUUCAAAGUAUUUUUUAGGCACAAAUCCAAUUGUGUUUUUUAUUCCUAACAAGAUAUGAAUCACUUUCCUAUGCAGUAUUUUCAUGUGAGUGUUCAAGUUUUUUGAGCAUCCGAUCUAGCACAUAUACCUAUUUUCAUACUUGCAAGUAUUUUUGUUCAUACCAGGGCGCUAGAAGUAAUAGUAUUCUGUGCGCGGCGCCGUCCGUACUUCGAAGUGAAAGCCUUGUUUAAAACCUGCUAGCGUAAACACGCCUCAUCGGCCUCAUCUUUAUAAGGAUGUAAAGAUGAAAUGGACUGAAAUGAAAGAAGUUGAUUUAUCUAAAUUUGUACUUAUGAUGAAAUGAUAUAUUUGAUUUGGCAAAAUGAAUGAAAUCGAAUGAAAAGAGAUGAGAUGAAUAAUGUUACAAUGAUGGGUUUUUAUUUAAACCAUAGUAGUAGACUUUAAAAGAACUCGAGACGUCAAAACUUGUUUCAUUAUUUCACACUUGUGCACUUUGAUAGAUGCUAAAUAAAUAAGUCAUAAAAUAAUUACUACUUUUUUUUGUUUAAAAUUAUCUUGAACAAAAACUAAAGCGAAUUUGGUGCCACAACUACAACUUGGUCAAAAUGUAUAAGCUUCAUUGACGCUCUGGUACCGAUUUGAGGCCAGCCGGCAACCGCUACGGUUGCUCUGGGGCUGCGGCCAGCCGCACCGGUUGAACGAUGCGGCGCACCGUAUCUCCUCCACGCACGGCACAGUUAGCCCCAAACGCCGCGCGACGCCCGCGAAACCUUGCCAAUCGUUUCAUUUAUGAAACGUGUUCACGAUUAUGUACGCAAAUGAAAGUUAUUCAUAAUGUCAAUAUUUUUAUUUUUUGUUUAAACAAAUAUGUGUAUACAAUACAUAUAUAAUUGAAUAAAAUUACUUCUUAAUAAA